UACGUAGGGUGCAAGCGUUGUCCGGAAUUAUUGGGCGUAAAGAGCUCGUAGGCGGUUUGUUGCGUCGGCUGUGAAAUCCCGAGGCUCAACCUCGGGUCUGCAGUCGAUACGAGCAAACUAGAGUGUUGCAGGGGAGACUGGAAUUCCUGGUGUAGCGGUGAAAUGCGCAGAUAUCAGGAGGAACACCGGUGGCGAAGGCGACUACCUGGCCUGUUUCUUGACGCUGAGGCGCGAAAGCUAGGGGAGCAAACGGG
rnacentral:rRNA from 1 species